UACGUAGGGAGCAAGCGUUGUUCGGAUUUACUGGGCGUAAAGGGCGCGUAGGCGGCGCGGUAAGUCACUUGUGAAAUCUCUGAGCUUAACUCAGAACGGCCAAGUGAUACUGCAGUGCUAGAGUGCAGAAGGGGCAAUCGGAAUUCUUGGUGUAGCGGUGAAAUGCGUAGAUAUCAAGAGGAACACCUGAGGUGAAGACGGGUUGCUAGGCUGACACUGACGCUGAGGAGCGAAAGCGUGGGGAGCGAACAGG
rnacentral:rRNA from 1 species